rnacentral:rRNA from 1 species
UACGUAGGUGGCAAGCGUUGUCCGGAAUUAUUGGGCGUAAAGCGCGCGCAGGCGGUUCUUUAAGUCUGAUGUGAAAGCCCACGGCUCAACCGUGGAGGGUCAUUGGAAACUGGGGGACUUGAGUGCAGGAGAGAAAAGUGGAAUUCCACGUGUAGCGGUGAAAUGCGUAGAGAUGUGGAGGAACACCAGUGGCGAAGGCGACUUUUUGGCCUGUAACUGACGCUGAGGCGCGAAAGCGUGGGGAGCAAACAGG